AUUGAACGCUGGCGGCAGGCCUAACACAUGCAAGUCGAACGGUAACAGGAAGCAGCUUGCUGCUUUGCUGACGAGUGGCGGACGGGUGAGUAAUGUCUGGGAAACUGCCUGAUGGAGGGGGAUAACUACUGGAAACGGUAGCUAAUACCGCAUAACGUCGCAAGACCAAAGAGGGGGACCUUAGGGGCUCUUGCCAUCGGAUGUGCCCAGAUGGGAUUAGCUGGUAGGGGGGGUAACGGCUCACCUAGGCGACGAUCCCUAGCUGGUCUGAGAGGAGGACCAGCCACACUGGAACUGAGACACGGUCCAGACUCCUACGGGAGGCAGCAGUGGGGAAUAUUGCACAAUGGGCGCAAGCCUGAUGCAGCCAUGCCGCGUGUAUGAAGAAGGCCUUCGGGUUGUAAAGUACUUUCAGCGGGGAGGAAGGGAGUAAAGUUAAUACCUUUGCUCAUUGACGUUACCCGCAGAAGAAGCACCGGCUAACUCCGUG
rnacentral:rRNA from 1 species